AUGUUCUUUUUAGCACAUAUAUGCUAAAAUUAGAAUGAUACAGAAAAAUAUUAGUAGGCCCCUGCAUGAGGAUGACAUAAAAAUUUGUGAAGUAUUCCAUAAAAAA
ensembl:snRNA U6 U6 spliceosomal RNA